rnacentral:rRNA from 1 species
UAGCGUAUAUUAAAGUUGUUGCGGUAAAAAAGCUCGUAGUUGGAUUUCUGUCAAGGACGACCGGUCCAUACCACGUAUGCGUAUCUGGUUCGGCCUCGGCAUCCUCUCGAAAAACGUUUCUGUGCUUCAUUGCAUGGAGCGGACCUCGGGACUUUUACUUUGAGGAAAUUAGAGUGUUCACGGCAGGCUAUCGCCAGAAUACAUUAGCAUGGAAUAAUACUACAGGAUCUUGAUUCUAUUUUGUUGGUUUCUAGAAUUAAGAUAAUGAUUAAUAGGGACAAUUGGGGGCAUUCGUAUCAACACGUC